GGUAUUAUAUUUUAAUAAGAAAAUUUAAUUUGCAAUUAAAAAGUAAGACAUAAAACUUUAUUACCA
rnacentral:tRNA from 1 species